UGCAGUCGAGCGACAGAAGGGAGCUUGCUCCCGGAUGUUAGCGGCGGACGGGUGAGUAACACGUGGGUAACCUGCCUGUAAGACUGGGAUAACUCCGGGAAACCGGAGCUAAUACCGGAUAGUUCCUUGAACCGCAUGGUUCAAGGAUGAAAGACGGUUUCGGCUGUCACUUACAGAUGGACCCGCGGCGCAUUAGCUAGUUGGUGGGGUAAUGGCUCACCAAGGCGACGAUGCGUAGCCGACCUGAGAGGGUGAUCGGCCACACUGGGACUGAGACACGGCCCAGACUCCUACGGGAGGCAGCAGUAGGGAAUCUUCCGCAAUGGACGAAAGUCUGACGGAGCAACGCCGCGUGAGUGAUGAAGGUUUUCGGAUCGUAAAGCUCUGUUGUUAGGGAAGAACAAGUGCGAGAGUAACUGCUCGCACCUUGACGGUACCUAACCAGAAAGCCACGGCUAACUACGUGCCAGCAGCCGCGGUAAUACGUAGGUGGCAAGCGUUGUCCGGAAUUAUUGGGCGUAAAGGGCUCGCAGGCGGUUUCUUAAGUCUGAUGUGAAAGCCCCCGGCUCAACCGGGGAGGGUCAUUGGAAACUGGGAAACUUGAGUGCAGAAGAGGAGAGUGGAAUUCCACGUGUAGCGGUGAAAUGCGUAGAGAUGUGGAGGAACACCAGUGGCGAAGGCGACUCUCUGGUCUGUAACUGACGCUGAGGAGCGAAAGCGUGGGGAGCGAACAGGAUUAGAUACCCUGGUAGUCCACGCCGUAAACGAUGAGUGCUAAGUGUUAGGGGGUUUCCGCCCCUUAGUGCUGCAGCUAACGCAUUAAGCACUCCGCCUGGGGAGUACGGUCGCAAGACUGAAACUCAAAGGAAUUGACGGGGGCCCGCACAAGCGGUGGAGCAUGUGGUUUAAUUCGAAGCAACGCGAAGAACCUUACCAGGUCUUGACAUCCUCUGACAACCCUAGAGAUAGGGCUUUCCCUUCGGGGACAGAGUGACAGGUGGUGCAUGGUUGUCGUCAGCUCGUGUCGUGAGAUGUUGGGUUAAGUCCCGCAACGAGCGCAACCCUUGAUCUUAGUUGCCAGCAUUUAGUUGGGCACUCUAAGGUGACUGCCGGUGACAAACCGGAGGAAGGUGGGGAUGACGUCAAAUCAUCAUGCCCCUUAUGACCUGGGCUACACACGUGCU
rnacentral:rRNA from 1 species